rnacentral:rRNA from 1 species
GAUGAGCAUGCGUCCCAUUAGCUAGUUGGUAAGGUAACGGCUUACCAAGGCUACGAUGGGUAGGGGUCCUGAGAGGGAGAUCCCCCACACUGGUACUGAGACACGGACCAGACUCCUACGGGAGGCAGCAGUGAGGAAUAUUUGACAAUGGGCGCAAGCCUGAUCCAGCCAUGCCGCGUGCAGGAUGACGGUCCUAUGGAUUGUAAACUGCUUUUAUACGAGAAGAAACACUCCUUCGUGAAGGAGCUUGACGGUAUCGUAAGAAUAAGGAUCGGCUAACUCCGUGCCAGCAGCCGCGGUAAUACGGAGGAUCCAAGCGUUAUCCGGAAUCAUUGGGUUUAAAGGGUCCGUAGGCGGUUUAAUAAGUCAGUGGUGAAAGCCCAUCGCUCAACGGUGGAACGGCCAUUGAUACUGUUAGACUUGAAUUAUUAGGAAGUAACUAGAAUAUGUAGUGUAGCGGUGAAAUGCUUAGAGAUUACAUGGAAUACCAAUUGCGAAGGCAGGUUACUACUAAUUGAUUGACGCU